rnacentral:lncRNA from 1 species
GAUUGCAUACAUUCUGAGAGGAAGUGUUAUGUCUUAAAACCUUUGCAUUUCCUAUAGAGGACUCUACCUAGUAAAUAGUCUUUAGUAAAUUCACCAUCAGAAUGCAAAAAUCAAAGUAACUUAGGGGAUAAGCAUUCUAAUCUCUCAUUUUAUAGAUGAGGAAACAGCUUCAGAGAAUUGAAAUGAUUUGCCCAGAUAAAAGUUUGUAGUCAAAACUAGAUCUCAGACUACUCUAUUCCUCCGGCUCUUUUUGUUUACUCCAUAUAUCCUCUGUUAACUGACCAGAUUGACUGAUUGGCCUGGCUCUAUCACCAGGAAGUCAAAGUAAAAUUCCACCACUGAACUCUGGAAAGGCAUGUCUUCCGAAGAGUGGGAUUGCCCAUCAAAGAAACAGGAAAAUGCCAUUAGCAAUGAGCUGAAGACUGACUGAUUUACGCUACCAGGCAUGCUUUUAAUGACUACUUGUACAAACAUAGAACUAGAAAAAGUGCUAGAAGCUGACCAGAGACAAAACAAAGAGCACGGUUCUUUUUGGGGCAUCUGCUUAAGGAACAUCACAUGCCCGCCUCAACAGGCUCCCCCUCUCUGUAUUCUGUCAUUAGGAGCAGCAGGACAUUCGGUAAUGAGAAGAUGGAGAUAUCAUUCUUAUAUAAUGCUGCAAUCCGGAAGCAGCACUCUCAAAAAGACAGGGUCCCGCUCUGUUGCCCAGGCUGGAGUGCAGUGGUGCGAUCUCGGCUGACUGUAACCUCCGCCCCCCAGGCCCAAGCAAUCCUCCUACCUCAGCUUCCUGAAUAGCUGGGACCACAGGCAUGUGCCAUCACACCUGGCUAAUUUUUUGUAUUUUUGGUAAAGACAGGGUUUUGCCAUGUUCCCUAGGCCAGUCUCAAACUCCUGAGCUCAGGCGAUCCACCCACAGCAGCCUUCCAAAGUGCUGGAAUUACAGGCAUGAGCCACCGUGCCCAGCCACUCUCAUUUUUUAAAAAACCAAAGAAAAUAAUCUUAAAUCAAUCUUGUACUUGUUUUAUGCACACCACUUUUGCUUGCUUCUUAAAGAGUAUAUGAUUAGCUAUACAAGUGACUUUAGGUUAAGAAAAUCCUUAGUCUUGAGAAAAGCACUGAAGAGGAAGGAGAAGAUGCCAGACCCCAAGACAUCCACCAAAAAUAGUUCAAAAUUAGAUUGUCUGGCAGGGCAAACAAUCCCAUCAGCUUCUGCCAGCCCCUAUAUUCUGGCUGGCCCCAGAAUUUAGUCAGGAUCGAACUAAAAUGUUUUGGUUUCUGGGGUGAGCCUUCAUCCAGGUCAAAAUAUUCUGGAAGAAGGCUCGCCUGGCACCUGGAAUUCACACCCUCGAGCUCUCCUUUUCACAGAACAGCUUUCGUCAGAUUUAUUGACAGCAUAGCGGGGCAUGAUUAACGUAUAAUCCAAUAGAGUUGAGCUUUUGACCUUGGCACUAUCGACAUUUGGGGCUAGCCAAUACCUUGCUGUGGCCCUCCUGUGCACUGUAGGAUGUUAUCAGCAUUCCUGGCCUCCACCUGCUAGAUGCCAGGAGCACCUCCGCCCCCACAGAAGUUGUGUUAACCAAAAUGUCUCCAGAUACUGCCAGAUGUCCCCUGGAGGGCAAAAUCAACUCUGGUUGACCACCACCGCAAUAGUAUUUUUUUUAAAUCAAAUAUAUGAAACAUAAAGAUUGCUAAGCAAUAUAGAUUAUUUCAGAUGUCCAGUCUUUUUUUUUUUUUUUUUUUUUUAAGAUGGAGUUCCUCUGUCACCAGGCUGGAGUGUAGUGGCAUGUUCUCAGCUCACUGCAACCUUCAACUCCCUGGUUCAAGUGAUUCUCCUGCCUCAGCCUCCUGAGUACCUGAGAUUACAGGCACGCACCACCAUGCCCAGCUAAUUUUGUGUAUUUUUAGUAGAGACAGAGUUUCACCGUGUUGGCCAGGAUGGUCUUGAACUCCCGACCUUGUGAUCUACCUGUCUCGGCCUCCCAAAGUGCUGGGAUUACAGGCGUGAGCCACUCCACACGGCCUAGAUGUCCAGUCUUAAAGGAAACCACUACUAUCAUCAUUAGCCAAAAAAAGAAAAAACAAACAGUGCUAAUAAUUAGAUAUAAAAUAAUCAAUGAAAACUAUCAUUGCCUUGAAAUAAUCCCUGGAGGAAAUGAAACAUCUGUAUAAAUUUUAUCCUUUCACGUGUGAAGAUGACUGGGAUAGCAGGUGUGGUAAAAUACAUUGUUCCAAAGCCUGUUCUGUGGUCUGCUGAUGAGAAUAUUCCCUGGAUUGGGCUACAGCUGCCAUGUGCAGUCUCUCUAUUGACAGUGUUUCUCAACCACUCCUGAAAAUCCCCACAUUGUUUGAACUCGAGUUUUGUAAUUACAGAGAUGUGGUUCUCAGAGCCAAAAAUGAAGCUGCCUGGCUGGAGCAGCAGGAUAUAGAAUAGGCCCUUGGGACUGGUAGAUUAUAACUUUUGUGGUUUCAAGUACUCAUAAAUGUGGUGGAGAGGGGUUUUGGAGAUGAUCCACAACUUGUCAGAGACCCUGCUAUUUUUUCUACCCACAGCCAUUGUAGAGAAUCCAAGCCGAGUUUAAGAGUGCUGUAGAAAUACACUGCUGCUACUGCUGUUUCUAUUAUUGUCUGAUGCUGGGACUCUUAUGCUCCAACCACGUUUUCACCCAGCUGAGUUGCCUUGUAUCACGCCUUUCCAGUGAGUAAGAUCAUCUGGAUAGAUUCUCCAAAAGAAAUAACCCAGUGAGGGAGGGGCAACCAGCAUGACCAUGAUGCUAGUUGUUGUGUGCGAAUGGUAAAAUGAAUGAAAUUAUGUGUGUGUGUGCACACUAGUCAUUAUAUGCAUGCAGACCCAUACAUAUGCAUAUGUAGUAUAAAUGAAUCUCCAUAAAUGCCUAAGGUGAUGGCAGUGAUGAGGGGCAGUUAAAAAUGUUAAGCACAAAUUGGAGCUGAGACACUGAUCAGAGAAAAAUUAUCCAUAAUACUGAGAAAGAGCCAUCUGUCAUGGCUGGAGGCUCAAGCAGAGAAGGGCUAAGUGGAGAGGCCCCGGGAACAGAUGGAGAGGCUUGAACCCCCACACAGAGCAGAGGGUCCAACAGCUGGGACUGAUUAAUCCAGACGGCUGACUAUUACAUCAUACGUUGGAUUACACCCAAGCGAGUGGCUAAAAGCUCCUAGCACGUUCAGGCCAACAUGGAGGCACUUCACAAAUGGCA